UACAGAGGUCUCAAGCGUUGUUCGGAUUUAUUGGGCGUAAAGGGCGCGUAGGCGGCUGGGUAAGUCGGGUGUGAAAUCUCAGGGCUCAACCCUGAAACUGCACUUGACACUGCUCUGCUUGAGGACUGGAGAGGAGACUGGAAUUCACGGUGUAGCAGUGAAAUGCGUAGAUAUCGUGAGGAAGACCAGUGGCGAAGGCGGGUCUCUGGACAGUUCCUGACGCUGAGGCGCGAAGGCCAGGGGAGCAAACGGG
rnacentral:rRNA from 1 species